CGGAGGUGGCAAGCGUUACUCGGAAUUAUUGGGUGUAAAGGGCAAGUAGGCGGCUUAGUAAGUGGGGGGUGAAAUACUCCGGCUCAAUCGGAGAACUGCCUUCCAAACUACUAAGCUUGGGUAUGACAGGGGGAAAAGGGAAUUCUCGGUGUAAGGGUGAAAUCUGUAGAUAUCGAGAAGAACACCAGCGGCGAAGGCGCUUUUCUGGGUCAUUACCGACGCUAAAUUGCGAAAGCUAGGGGAGCAAACAGAAUUAGAUACUCUGGUAGUCCUAGCCGUAAACGAUGAGCACUAGGUGUCGGCGUCCUUUAGGAGUCGGUGCCGCAGCUAACGCAUUAAGUGCUCCACCUGGGGACUACGGUCGCAAGGCUA
rnacentral:rRNA from 1 species